rnacentral:rRNA from 1 species
AGAGUUUGAUCAUGGCUCAGGACGAACGCUGGCGGCGUGCUUAACACAUGCAAGUCGAGCGAGGCUCUCUCCUUCGGGAGGGAUGUCCUAGCGGCGAACGGGUGAGUAACACGUGGGCAACCUGCCCUCCGCUCUGGGAUAACCCCGGGAAACCGGAGCUAAUACCGGAUACGACCUCGGAAGACAUCUUCUGAGGUGGAAAGAAUUUCGGCGGAGGAUGGGCCCGCGGCCUAUCAGCUUGUUGGUGGGGUAACGGCCCACCAAGGCGACGACGGGUAGCCGGCCUGAGAGGGCGACCGGCCACACUGGGACUGAGACACGGCCCAGACUCCUACGGGAGGCAGCAGUGGGGAAUAUUGCGCAAUGGGCGAAAGCCUGACGCAGCGACGCCGCGUGAGGGAUGAAGGCCUUCGGGUUGUAAACCUCUUUCAGCAGGGACGAAGCGAAAGUGACGGUACCUGCAGAAGAAGCACCGGCCAACUACGUGCCAGCCGCCGCGGUAAUAC